rnacentral:rRNA from 1 species
CCGUAGCAAUACGGGAGCGGCAGACGGGUGAGUAACGCGUGGGAACAUGCCCUUCGGUUCGGAAUAACCCAGGGAAACUUGGACUAAUACCGAAUACGUCCGUGAGGAGAAAGAUUUAUCGCCGAAGGAUUGGCCCGCGUCGGAUUAGCUAGUUGGUGAGGUAACGGCUCACCAAGGCGAUGAUCCGUAGCUGGUCUGAGAGGAUGACCAGCCACACUGGAACUGAGACACGGUCCAGACUCCUACGGGAGGCAGCAGUAGGGAAUUUUGGGCAAUGGGCGAAAGCCUGACCCAGCAACGCCGCGUGUGGGAUGAAGGCCCUCGGGUCGUAAACCACUGUCAGGAGGAAAGAAAAGUCGGCCGGGUAAUAUUCGGUCGACCUGACGGUACCUCCAAAGGAAGCACCGGCUAACUCCGUGCCAGCAGCCGCGGUAAUACGGAGGGUGCAAGCGUUGUUCGGAAUUACUGGGCGUAAAGCGCGUGUAGGUGGUUGAGUAAGUCGAAUGUGAAAGCCCCGGGCUCAACCCGGGAAGUGCAUCCGAAACUGCUCGACUAGAGUCCCGGAGAGGAAGGCAGAAUUCCCAAUGUAGGGGUGAAAUCCGUAGAUAUUGGGAGGAAUACCGGUGGCGAAGGCGGCCUUCUGGACGGUGACUGACACUCAGACGCGAAAGCGUGGGGAGCAAACAGGAUUAGAUACCCUGGUAGUCCACGCUGUAAACGUUGCGAACU